UACGAAGGGGGCGAGCGUUGUUCGGAAUUACUGGGCGUAAAGGGCGCGCAGGCGGCCCUUGAAGUCAGGCGUGAAAGCCCCGGGCUCAACCUGGGAGGUGCGCUUGAUACUCGAGGGCUUGAGUGCGGGAGAAGAGAGUGGAAUUCCUGGUGUAGCGGUGAAAUGCGCAGAUAUCAGGAAGAACACCCGUGGCUAAGGCGGCUCUCUAGUACGGUACUGACGCUGAGACGCGAAAGCGUGGGGAGCGAACAGG
rnacentral:rRNA from 1 species